AUAAAAAAUGUAAAAAUUUUAAAAUAUAUUAUAUAAAAUUAAAUUAAUAAUUUGAAAUAAAAUAAAUAAUAUUUUAGAAAACUUUAUGGUGGCAGCUCCGCUACAUAUUCGAGGAUAUCGUAAAUAAAUAAAUAAAUAUGAAACAGAUUCCCAAUAAUAUUAAAAUAAAUAUUGAAUUUCCAAUAUACUCAGGCAAUGGCGAUCUUUUUUUGAGAAGAUUCGAAGACAUCUUCAAGGACACUCAGAUCUCGGACAUCGAAAAAGCAGGUUCCUUUACAAGAAGACUACCAAAUGAGGUAUAUAUCAAGUUUAAAUCGAUAUGUUCACCUACCGACUUCAUCAAUCCAUCGAUAUUGAUUGAAAAAUUCAGGUUAUUACACCCGAGGAAAUCUACAAGUUCCAACUUAUUAUUAUUUAACGCAGCUGUACAAGGUAAAAACGAAAGUUACAUCAAUUGGAAGAUGAUACAACCGUGAAACAUGUAGAAAGGCAAAGAGGCAGGAAAACAGAAGAAUAAACAAUUGGUGAGAUAUGGAGACCAUGAUGAACGACAAAAUUUACAAUCUAAUUACGAUAACAUACAACGAUGGACAAUAAGAGGCCAUGACUUUCAAAGAAAUAUUUAUCAAGAAAAUAGUUAAAACCCUCAACAAAAGUUUAUUCCUGAUAAAAUACGCUUUUUGGGACAUGAUAACAAACAUGGUAUACAUCCCAACGUUGAUAAGAUAAAAGCUAUUUCUAACAUGCCGGAACCGAAGACAAAAGAUGAAUUGACAACAUUUUUGGGGAUGGCGAGCUAUUAUCGAAAGUUUUAAGUAAUUUUGCGGACGUAGCUGAUUCUUUAUACAAAAUGGUUAAUAAAGACAAAUUGUUAUGGGAUAAUACACAUCAAGAAAGCUUCGACGACCUAAAAAAUAUGAUAAAUACUCCGCCUCCGGAUCUACCAAUAGGCAUUGCAACUGAUGUUUCAAAGAAAGGUCUAGCAGUCUUAUUUCAUAUUGAUGGUGAUAGUAAAGAGAAACCCAUUGCUUUUGCGUCAAGAGCUUUACUGAAAUCAGAGUUUAAUUACACUAAUAUAGAGAGGGAAGUUUUAUCUGUUAUAUACGCGGUAAAAAAGUUUCAAGAAUAUUUAAUUGGGAAUUUAAAAAAAAUUAAAUUAUUAUUUUAGAGUAAUAAAAUAUAACAAAAUAUGAGUUA